CGACCUGGGCGCGGACGCGCGUGACGAGAGCGCGUCCCUUCCGGGAGGAAGGCCCGCCCCCCUCGAGCGUCCAUAGCAACCACGGGCGACCGUUAAAGCAACUGGCGCCGUUCCCGUAGCCCUGCGUCAUCCUUCCGGAGGCCAUCUCUGAAAAGGAAGCAGCGGGGAGGCGGAAGAGGCUCCUUUACUUUAGGCGGGCCCCCCGCAGCCUGUUGUUUUUCCCGGCGCCACCGCUCCUUUCCUCUUCGCUCCAUCGAUGGUCUCCUCACCGGACAGCCUUGCCCAAGAACUUCGUUACUAUACAACAAUCCACCAUCGUCUCUCCGCAUUUGACUCCCGCGAUGGGUUCCUUUUUCUCCUCACCGCCCCAAACAGCUCUAUCGCCGCCCAGUCAACUUUCAAGAGGUUUUCUUCAGAGCAGAGGGCUUCAUCUGAGUCAAGACACAGUCUUAAGACCCCUUUUGUGUAUACGAGGACUUUGUCUUGGUCAGAAGCUUGUGAAAGCAUCAUGAAGAGAAGAGGGCCUCUGAGCAAAUGCAAAGUGCCUUUCCCUAGCAGCUGAGAAAGCAGUGACGUAACAAGCUCUGUAGGGUUCAAGAGUUGAACAUGGCCCCCAUCAGAUAGUUUCCCCCAUGGGGAUCUGUGAGAAACUCAAAAAGUUCAAUAUCAAUUAUCAGCACUCUUUCCAAACUAGAACUCCCAGGAUAGGUAUAAAACACAUAUAAGUUUGUAGUGUAGAUAGGUGCCCACCAGCUCAUCUCUCUCCAGUGCUGAAGGAUGACACUUUGCUCACACUUCUGCAGGUGGCAAUGACAUCACCUGCGGUUUUUCUGUUAUAAUGUGCUCAUUGUCUCCUUGGGGAUGGAUAAAGUAAUGUGGAGGAUGCAGGAGAAGCAGCAUUGCAUAGAGGCUGCUUGGUUCUCUUCCUGUCCCAAGACUAGGUGAGAUAAUCCUGACAAAGCAGUUGUACUCCUUUUAAAUAUACAACUGUAUGGUAAGGCUGCCAGGUAAGAAGUAUCUUUCUGUUCUAGAACAGGAAUUUGUAACAGCUGGAGGCAGUCUGAAACCAAGUAAUCCAGCAGACCAGGCAAGCAGUGGCAGCUGACCAGCAUCGCAGGAACAUUGGGGGCAGGUGGGGGGGAGAGAUGGUAGGAGAGAAGAGAUACCAGUCAUAAUCUUUGUUAUGCAAUAGUUGCUGGGUCUCUUUUAUGCUAUCCUUUAUUUUUAUUGUUUUAUGUACCUUACUUUGCUAAAUUAUCUUAUCUUAUUGUUAUGAAGGGAUAUACUAAAAUUAAUGCAUCUAUUUCUAGAGAGGACAGGCAUGUUACGAGAUAUGCAUGGUUUCCAGUAUUUCCAGUGGGCCUUGAAGGAGCACCCACUGAUUUUAGUGGGCAUUCUUGUAAUUCAUUUUAGUAGAUCCCAGUUGUUAAUCCCUUGGAGGCUUUCUGCUCUCUUUCUGGGAACAUAAAUUACCCCAUUCAGCACCAGUGCAAACACCUUCCCACAGCAGGCUGACCUGCACAACGAACUCCUUACUCUACUGCUAAAGAAAGCCAUUUGGUUUCUUUCUUAGGGAAUGAGAGGCAACACCAUCACAAUGUACUUUAUUAGCAGGAAAUGGCUUGGCUUGAAAUGUGUGGUUUUCAAUCAGUUUAAGAAAACAAACUCAUAACAAGAAGUCCGAUGAUGCACACUGUUUGCACUGUUUAAGGAAGGAGGAAGUGUAAAAGAUCAUAGGUGGUCACAACCAACAUGGAGAUAAGUCCUUAAGAGACUGAAAGGUAAUUUCCCAGUUUACAAGGAACUGCAGUCUAUCUCUUGAGAAAAAAAGAUACUUCUCCAAGAUUGAAAGACAAUUUACAAGGAAUGCAAUCUAUACGUUCUCUGUUCUCUCGAAAGAAAGAGAUAUUUCUCCAAGCAAGUGAAUAGGAUAUCUUUGUCUUGCAAACAUACAGACUUGUAUGGAGAACUGGAUGAGGGGAAAUCUUUAUUUGCAGGAAAUGGCUUGGCUAGAAAAGCAUAAAGCAAUUCAGACUAAACUUUUCAUCUUCCUC